rnacentral:rRNA from 1 species
UAAGGAAUAUUGCGCAAUGGGGGAAACCCUGACGCAGCAACGCCGCGUGGAGGAUGACACUUUUCGGAGCGUAAACUCCUUUUAUCAGGAAAGAAUAAUGACGGUACCUGAUGAAUAAGCACCGGCUAACUCCGUGCCAGCAGCCGCGGUAAUACGGGGGGUGCAAGCGUUACUCGGAAUCACUGGGCGUAAAUGACGCGUAGGCGGAUUAUCAAGUCUUUUGUGAAAUCUAGUGGCUUAACCACUAAACUGCUUAGGAAACUGAUAGUCUAGAGUAGGGGAGAGGUAGAUGGAAUUCUUGGUGUAGGGGUAAAAUCCGUAGAGAUCAAGAAGAAUACCCAUUGCGAAAGCGAUCUGCUGGAACCUAACUGACGCUGAGGCGUGAAAGCGUGGGUAGCAAACAGG